CAUGCAGUUCGAGCGGACAGAUGGGAGCUUGCUCCCUGAUGUUAGCGGCGGACGGGUGAGUAACACGUGGGUAACCUGCCUGUAAGACUGGGAUAACUCCGGGAAACCGGGGCUAAUACCGGAUGGUUGUUUGAACCGCAUGGUUCAGACAUAAAAGGUGGCUUCGGCUACCACUUACAGAUGGACCCGCGGCGCAUUAGCUAGUUGGUGAGGUAACGGCUCACCAAGGCGACGAUGCGUAGCCGACCUGAGAGGGUGAUCGGCCACACUGGGACUGAGACACGGCCCAGACUCCUACGGGAGGCAGCAGUAGGGAAUCUUCCGCAAUGGACGAAAGUCUGACGGAGCAACGCCGCGUGAGUGAUGAAGGUUUUCGGAUCGUAAAGCUCUGUUGUUAGGGAAGAACAAGUGCCGUUCAAAUAGGGCGGCACCUUGACGGUACCUAACCAGAAAGCCACGGCUAACUACGUGCCAGCAGCCGCGGUAAUACGUAGGUGGCAAGCGUUGUCCGGAAUUAUUGGGCGUAAAGGGCUCGCAGGCGGUUUCUUAAGUCUGAUGUGAAAGCCCCCGGCUCAACCGGGGAGGGUCAUUGGAAACUGGGGAACUUGAGUGCAGAAGAGGAGAGUGGAAUUCCACGUGUAGCGGUGAAAUGCGUAGAGAUGUGGAGGAACACCAGUGGCGAAGGCGACUCUCUGGUCUGUAACUGACGCUGAGGAGCGAAAGCGUGGGGAGCGAACAGGAUUAGAUACCCUGGUAGUCCACGCCGUAAACGAUGAGUGCUAAGUGUUAGGGGGUUUCCGCCCCUUAGUGCUGCAGCUAACGCAUUAAGCACUCCGCCUGGGGAGUACGGUCGCAAGACUGAAACUCAAAGGAAUUGACGGGGGCCCGCACAAGCGGUGGAGCAUGUGGUUUAAUUCGAAGCAACGCGAAGAACCUUACCAGGUCUUGACAUCCUCUGACAAUCCUAGAGAUAGGACGUCCCCUUCGGGGGCAGAGUGACAGGUGGUGCAUGGUUGUCGUCAGCUCGUGUCGUGAGAUGUUGGGUUAAGUCCCGCAACGAGCGCAACCCUUGAUCUUAGUUGCCAGCAUUCAGUUGGGCACUCUAAGGUGACUGCCGGUGACAAACCGGAGGAAGGUGGGGAUGACGUCAAAUCAUCAUGCCCCUUAUGACCUGGGCUACACACGUGCUACAAUGGACAGAACAAAGGGCAGCGAAACCGCGAGGUUAAGCCAAUCCCACAAAUCUGUUCUCAGUUCGGAUCG
rnacentral:rRNA from 1 species